rnacentral:tRNA from 1 species
CCCCGGUUGGUGUAAUUAGCUAGCACAUUGUUCAUUGACCUCGAACAACGGUUGUUCUCAGGAGCACCAUUAUUUAAAACUGUCAAAGGCUGCAGGAUCAAGUCCUGCACUGGAGG